CCUGCUUUUUAGGGCUGCACCUGAGGCACAUGGAAGUUUCCAGUCUAGGGAACAAAUCAGAGGCACAGCUGCUGACCUAUGCCUCAGCCACAGCAACUUGGGAUCUGAGCUGCAUCUGCAACUUACACCACACCUCACGGCAAUCCCCACGGAGUGAGGCCAGGGAUCAAACACGAAUCCUCAUGGAUACUAGUUGGAUUUGUUUCUGCUGCUCCAUGACAGGAACUCCCCAUAUUUAUUUUUUUAACUUAAUUUUAUUGGAGAAUAGUUGACUUACAAUCUUGUAUUAGUUUCAGGUGUACAGCAAAGUGAAUCAGUCAUAUGUAUAAAUAUACCACUCUCUUUCCCCAUAUAGGUUAUUACAAACUAUUGAGUAGAUUUUUCUGUGCUAUACAGUAGGUUCUAAUUAAUCAGACCUCUGAAUUCUCCACACAGGUUGUUCCAUCCUAGAAUUAUUUCCUUUCACAUUUCUUCUCCUGAAAAUUCUUGCUCCUUCCUUAAAAUAUCCCCUUUAAAACCUGGUAAACUUUUCACUAACUUGCCCCAUCAGAAUUAAUUGCUUUCUCCCCUAGACCCCACCAGCCAUCUAUUGGCUUGGCUACUGUUGUUACUCUAAGACUGCACUGUAGGUUUUUUGUUUGUUUAUUUGUUUGUUUUUUGGCAUGCCCAUGGCAUGUGGAAGUUCCUUGGCCAGGGGUCAAACCCCCACCACAGCAGCAACUGAGCUGCUGCAGUGAAAAUGCCAGAUCCUUAACCCGCUGAGCCACAAGAGAACUCUUAGAAUUUAUUUAUUUAUUUUGCUUUUGUAGGGCCACACCCGUGGCAUAUGGAGGUUCCCAGGCUAGGGGUCCAAUCGGAGCUGUAGCCACUGGCCUACACCUCAGCCACAGCAACAUGGAAUCCGAGCUGUGUCUGUGACCUACACCACAGCUCACGGCAAGGCUGGAUCCUUAACCCACUGAGUGAGGCCAGGGAUCAAACCAGCAACCUCAUGGUUCCUAGUCGGAUUCGUUUCAGCUGCACCACAACUGGAACUCCAGAAUUUACUCUUAAUAGUAUCAUGCCCUAAAGGUUGGGAGCAGUGCUCUGGAGUUCAACCCCUCCCUGCUGAAUGACCUUUGACAAGGUAAACGGUCUUCACCUCCUCAAGUUUUGGUUCCCUUGCCUGUGAAACACAGGCUGGUAGUAGCUAAACUCAACCUCUUGAGAGGUUUCAAGAAAACAAUGGCUGAGCAGAGUACCUGGAGCAAAGGAAGCAAGCACUCCAUAAAUAGUAGCUGCCAAAGCGACAGUGAUGAUAAGGAUGACACAGUCAGAAUAGACUGUGGUCCUUUUGAAGGCUGGGUCCACGUCGGUUUACCUGCAGCAUCGCAAAAACUGACCUGACCCCUUGUCCUCCCUCCAGGCCUGAUUUUUAAUUCAAUUCAAAGCUGGGUGUUGGAAAAUACCUGGAUUGCUUCUCUAAUCGUACUUCUUCUCUCUUUUNNNNNNNNNNNNNNNNNNNNNNNNNNNNNNNNNNNNNNNNNNNNNNNNNCGGGAUCCGAGCCGCGUCUGCAACCUACACCACAGCUCACAGCAACGCCGGAUCGUUAACCCACUGAGCAAGGGCAGGGACCGAACCCGCAACCUCAUGGUUCCUAGUCGGAUUCGUUAACCACUGCGCCACGACGGGAACUCCUCUAAUCGUACUUCUUAUCAUCACUGUCCUGACUGAGUUUCUUGCUCAUUUUCACAUGGUCGACAGCAAGAGCCUCCCACUCAGAAUGUCCCACCUGGUCUCUUUCUGAUUUUGCAUCCUGUAGCCUGCUCCCUCCGUGUGGCCAGAGUGAUCUUCUCAGGGAAUAAUCUCAUCAAACCACUCCUCUCCUGGCUCCUUUAACUCACUGUGGCCCCCAGGCUUAGCACACAGCCUCCCUUCCAUGACCUGGGGCCUCCGUAGUUUAAACCCAGCCCAGCCACGAGCCUCUUCCCAGGCAGCAUCCUCACUAAGACAGCUCACAGCAGCCUCUGCACCUGCCUCUCCCUAGAACACCGAAGAGGCACAGGGCCUUCCAUGACUUUGCUUUCUUCUUCUCUUCCUUUCCUACCUGAAAGGAAUGGCCCAUAUUUCAGGGCAUAGCAAAGGUCACCCACCCCUUGGCAGUUGUCCCUAACCUCUCCCCAAAUCCUGGAAAGAGAAUCCCCCCAUCUCUCCCUUGGGGAGGGGGCUGGACAUGUAUUCACAGCUGAUGUUAUGAUUCCUGUCUCUUUAGCUAGAGGGUGAGGUGCUUAAGGAUAAGGCUGAAAUUGCAUCUCUAUUUCCUCCGUGUCUGGCACAAGCCUAACAAGGGUACCUGCUUAAUUCCUCUUUGAAAGAAAGAUCCAAAGAACAGAUUGAAUAAAUCCAAAAAACAAAGGGGUGGGGGGAGCUUCUAAUGGAGGAUUUCUGCUACCUAAAUCUUUCCUCUCAGUUUUCUCUACAAUUCUCAGAAUAAAAGGAAGGAUGGCAGAGAGCAGGCUGCAAGCUUAUAGUUAUGCUGAUUUAUUCCAACUGUCAGUUUAAUUAUGAAUUAUUAAUUACCAAACAGGUACAAUGUUAGUAGAUUCCAAACCGCCCUGCCUCGGUGGCAGAGGAGAAUUACGACUGAUGCUUGAUUCAGACGACUCUGCAGUCUGAAGGUUUAUGCUGCUGAGACCUUAGAGGUAAGUCUUUUCAAGGAGAAGCCAUAAGUAACACGCAGAACGUUUGAGUUCUUAAGGGAAUCCACAUUAGCAAAUAAAUAAAAAUUACCUGGCUUAUAAAUCUGCCAUAUUUUGGAUUAUUUCUGCAUUAGGAACUGGCCUGAAAUUUCACUGCACAUAUUUUACCAAAAUACACACUGGGAAAAAUAGUGUACUUUCUAACUACACUGCAUUCUCUUGAGAAAACUGUACUACUUGUUUUCCAGUAUUUUUCAGCUUGUUAAAAAAUAGUUCUGGGCUUAGAAAUGUCAAUACUUUUUUUCACUUUUACAAAGCAACAACUUCAGUGAACCUUCCAAAAUAGUCUGAGAAUAAUGUCUGCUUUUGCUGAUGGGUUAAGACAUCUGAAAUUCUUUUUCUCUAAACCCAAGAGUCUUCCUGGUAGUAAGAUCGGCACGGCUGAGGGGGGAGGGUGGGGGGCAUAGCUGGUCAGUGGAGGAUGAGUUUGGACCUUGUAGCUCUGAUGCACAUGGACAGAUGGCUCAGUACAGCCCUGGAUGCAAAGCUAUCAGCUCCAUACAUGCUAUGUUUCAUCUGAUAAUUUCAAAGGUCCUGGAUUGAGAGAUAUUUAUAAAAUUCUAUGGAUAUUUGGGGGACAUCUUCAUUCCCCAGGUGCUUGGUCAUUGUCACCCAUAAGCAGGGAACUUUCCGGAAUGGCAUCAUGAAGGUUAAUCCAAACAUUUCACCGAGCCCCAAGCUGUGCCCCCGUCCAUCCUCUGCAGGCCAAUAGUGUUCUCUGUCCUUUAUGAAAAGAGGAAAGGUAAGGACAGUCAAGGCUGUGGGUCAACAGUAAGACGAGAAACACAGAGAGCGAAGGGGGAAAAAGGAAAGUUCUUUCUGUUCUCUAUUAUCAUGUCAUUAUUAAUACGUGAUAUGCAAUAAUACCUAUCACGUAUUAAUAUACAACUUGAGUAUUUCCAAGUUGCUUACACAUGCAUUAUCUCACUGCCUCCUCACAAACUGUGUGUUACAUAGAACAAAUAUUCUCACUAUUAAAAAUGAAGAAGCUGAGGCAUAGGGAGGGUUAAGUAAAUUGCCGAAAGUCAUGUGGUUAGUAAACUGCGGAAUUCUUUAUUGUGCUGCCUCUUUGUUUAACCUCUUAUCAAUGUCCCAACCACAAUAUUUGCAUUUGCAUCUUCUGUUUCCUCUGCUCCAAAGGUCCCACUGCAUCCGCCUUCACAGCAACACCAGCCGUAAACAAAACCACCUCCUCUGGCUGGCUUUCGCAGCACCCUGCCUGCCACCAGGGUGGGCAACCAUCUCUGUCAUCUUGGUUCCUCCAGCGCCAUGUUGGCCGAGGGAGGUACCCAACACUUAAAUGCUGAAAUGACUCAAAGAAAAUGGUGGGACCCAGAACAGUCUAAUCAAAGGGUCACAAAUAGCACAUGUAUUUUCAGUCACAUCUGCAGACAUUAAGAACCCUCCUCUGAGGUAGUGCAUGUGUCUGGCUAUCUUCAGUUGAUGGGUGUGUGUUAAAAUGUGUCCUCACAUGAUUGGGCAGGUUGAUCAAUGCAUAACUACAAAGACUCCAAAUUGUGGUCAUGUUAGAUGGAUAGAUGGUCAGGUAGGUUGGUCGGUAGAUAGGUACAGGCAUAUAGAUAACACAUCUAUAUCUGUAUAGUUAGGGAUAUAGUUAUAGACAUGGAUAAGAUACUGUCUCUCUCUGUAAGUGUAUACACACGUACAUACAUACACACACAUACUGAAAGACAGACACACUUUUAGCAGAUUGCAGUCCAUAUCUUGAGGACAAAAGCCAUCUUUGGGCACUGGAUUACCAUCAGGUAUAUCACAUUCUCCCUCAACCCUCAGCAUGGCCCACUGCUCUUCAACAUACCAGUGUGUCUUGAACCUCGCCUCCCUCUCCACUCCUGCUGCCACUGGCUUAGUGGAGAAGCUCAUCGUCCCUUUCUUGGAAUAUUACAAGUCUCCUCAUCUCUCUGUCUACCUUGAGUUUCAUAACUCAAACCCUAUCCAUCCACUGGGGGUACCUCUCAAAAUCUUGUUUCUGCCUAACACCCCAAACUUUUCCCCUGCCAAAGACUAUGAAGUCCAACUUCUUAGCAGGAUUUACACAGGACUCCGUCUGGCCAUAGCUGCAGUGCCAACCCCACCUCUAACAAGGAGCCCACCCCUCUCUCUGGAGCUACAUCAUUCUCUCUCCCCUGUGCCUUCAUGUCCCGUAUUCCCUCUACCUGAGAAACCCCCACUUCUGUGCCCCAUGAGCUGCUCAUCCUUCAACACUCAACUCCAAGAUGGGUUCCUUUAUGAUGCUCUUUCUUCUGUUUGCAAGGCUUUGUUGUUUAUGUCUUUAUCACACCAUUUAUAUUUACAACUGAGCCAUUCCACGGACGGAGUCUGCUAUAUUUAUCCUUGUAUUCCUAUGAUAACACCAAGCCUGACAUGAAGCAGCUUCCUUCGCCCAAAAUAUAGUGCAUAAUGCGGAGGUUUUUUGAAGUGUGUCUUACAAUCUUUUUAAAUCUCUGUCUUAUAAACAUCUUACCCUCGAUGUUUGACACUUGUCCUUUCUCUUCCCUGAAAUAUUCUCCACCUUAUUCUGCCAUAUGUUUUUUUCCUUCUGGGUUGCGUAUUCACGUUACUUCCUCAGAGAGGUCUUCGCCAAUGACUUCAGACCCCUCACACACACCUGAUUCAGGUCUUCUUGCAAUCUCUUCUCAGCCUUUAAAUUGUCUUCCAUAAUUCUUUUCGACUUUUGUCCUUUUAUAUUCAUAUGUAUGAUUAUUUCUUUAAAGUCAUUUUGGCCCUGGACUUUGUAAAGCACAAUACUCCCAGCAUGCUGGACGAUGCUUGGCACAUAAUAGAUGCUUAAUAAAAAUGUAUUAUAUGAAUAAGUAUAUAUCAUCAAGACUGUGCUGUACAUACCACUGUGUACUUGUGAGUACGCAAGCCUGAGAUGGAAAAUGCUUUUCUACAGGAGAAAUAUAUCUUUGUACAAAGGUAAUUGGGACCGGAACUCUGGACUUACUAGCACACAAAGUUGAUAUGACAAGGUUGCAACAGCGUAUAAGGGACCAGGUACCACAUCUUAGGUUCUGGAGUCUAGGAGACUGUAACCUUGGAUAAUAUUGGCUUAGACCCUCUCAGCCUCUGGUUCUUUAUUUGUAGGAUAAAGAAGAUAGAAUUUAUCUUUCUAAGUCGUUGUAAGAGUUAAGUGUAAAUGUCCAUAGCACACUAGCAGAGUGCCUGGAAAUGAGUAAGCACUAAAUAAAUAUUAGAUGUUAUUGUUCAUUUUUUUAAUACUCAUGGUUAAUAGUAAACAUACUAUUUAGAAUCUGAUAAAUGGCUUCAUCUGUGCCUAACUGCUCAUUUUCUAAAUCUUGGUUCCUU
rnacentral:lncRNA from 1 species